CUACAGGGGUAUCUAAUCCCGUUUGCUCCCCACGCUUUCGUGCCUUAGUGUCAGGGACGAGCCAGUAACCUGCCUACGCCAUCGGUAUUCCUCCUUAUAUCUACGGAUUUCACUCCUACACAAGGAAUUCUAGUUACCUCUCUCGCCCUCUAGCUUAGCAGUUUAGAUAAUGGAUAUGAGGUUGAGCCCCACGCUUUCACUAUCUACUUACUAUGCCACCUACGCAACUCUUUACGCCCAGUAAUUCCGGAUAACGCUUGGAUCCUCCGUAUUACCGCGGCUGCUGGCAC
rnacentral:rRNA from 1 species